UCAAGGUCCUCAUGGCCCUUACGGGCUGGGCUACACACGUGCUACAAUGGUGGUGACAGUGGGCAGCGAAGACCGCGAGGUCGAGCUAAUCUCCAAAAGCCAUCUCAAGUUCGGAUUGCACUCUGCAACUCGAGUGCAUGAAGUUGGAAUCGCUAGUAAUCGCGGAUCAGCAUGCCGCGGUGAAUACGUUCCCGGGCCUU
rnacentral:rRNA from 1 species